UGUAAUUUUCGCAAAUACUUCUUUUGGUCAGAAUUAAUCUCCAUGGUUCGAGAAAAGUAGAGCAUUCCAUUUUGUUCUCUUCACCGCCAUUACUCUCCUCUGCUCCUUCAUUAUCGCUCCACUUCUCUAGUUCUUCUCAUCAAUUUUCUUUGCUCACCGUUGACUGCGUCUCUUUGCUGUUGUUGCCUCAAUCUCCGUUCUUCUUUCUGCCUAAGUUCAUAUGUUACAGUAAGGUUGGGUUGCUGGAUGCUUUUUCCCCUGCCAUCGUUUUUAGCUUCAUGUUAACUUGAGUGGCCGACCGUGGUGGUGCGUACGUUCGAUUCCUAUAUGCUCUCCCUCCUAAACUGUUGGCAUCGUGUGUUUGCUUGAUCUUCAUCUUCACUCUUCCUUCCUAUUCAGCUAGUGGGUGCCGUGUGAGUGGGAGGCGCGCCAUAGUACACCUAGCUAGCAAGGUGUUUAUUGAAGGUGCUAGUCUCGUGUGAAGGCUAAUGCACAUGGAUUGGAGGGAUGGUAAUUCGUGAGUAUUAUACUCAUACUUGUUUUUGCAGGCCUCAUGCUUGCACUUGAUUUGUGGCUCCUGUCGCGCUUGUUUCAUGGCUUUUAGCUACGCUUGAUUGGUUACUUACCUUCGUGAAUUGUGUGUCCAUGCUUGAUUGGUUAUUUACUCUCGUGGACUGAGUAUCCACACGUAUUAUUCAUUCUGAUAAAGCCUUCCUAUAUUAGAUUUAAAACUUAUCAUUUUAUAUUUGUUUCUUUAAAGGAUUUUUUUAAUUGCACCAUUAUUUGAAAUCUUUAUAUAUAUGUAUAUAUAUUUAAUAGAAAAAUUUUGAUAAAUUUAUAUGGUUUUGAUGCUAUUGUUGGUUUCAUGGUUAUACUAUUGAGCAAACUCAUCAUUUAUUGUUAGUUAAAGUAAGUUUCAUUAUUCUCUUAUUUUGUUUAAACUAAAUUUAUUAGUUACUACUUGUCACAUUUUAUUUUUAAUUAAUUAUAAUUUAUAAUCUCAAUUGAGACGCUACUCACUAGAAAAUUCUUUGGUCUCAGAUGUUGUAGAUGACCCUAUCUGUUGAUUGUUGAGAGGCAGUAUCACUUUUUAGAUAGUGGAAGUACAUUCUAGUUAUUUUGAUAUAAUUUUAAUCUAGUGCUCCAUGUAUACUAUAGUUAGAUCCUAGUUUUGUUUUGUUUUGAUGAUUUAUAAUCUGCUAGUAUGGAGCUAAGCUCUUUUACUAUAUUAGCUAACAGGUUUUGUUAUUGUAAAAUUUUAGGAGGUCUAAAUUACAAGGGAAAUUCUACCAAAAUUUUUAUAGAAUAUUUAAGAUUUUUUUUGAACCUUACAAUUAUAUAUAUAAAUUAGUUAUCGAUAUUUUAACUUAAUUUUAUAUAAUUAAGGCUUAUGGGAUGUGAGUUUAUCUCAGAUUCCAUGGCAAUCAUACCCUUAGUGCCAAGAUGUGACACUUACAUAGUUCCUUCUAUUCUUAUUGAUGAUAAUUUUCUUGAUGAAUGCUUGAGUGCUAUGCAUGAUGUUAAUCCUUGGCAUGUCGACUUAGUUAAUUACUUAGCUUCCUUUACAUUGCUUGUGCAUUUAAUGAAAUAUCAAUUAGAUAAGUUUAAGAAGGAAGCUAUAUAUUACAUUUAGGAUGAUCCAUACCUUUGGCACAUAGAUAGUGACCAGAUUAUUAAGAGAUGUAUUCCUAACACUGAGUUUGAGUCUGUAUUACAUUUUUGUCACACACUUGGUUGUAGAGGACACUUUGUUCCACAACGCACUACUAGAAAAGUGUUUGAUUCUGGAUUGUAUUGGCCUACUCUAUUCCAUGAUGCAUAUGUAAUUUGUAAGCAUUGUGCUAGAUGUCAGCAUACAGGAAAUAUCUCCCAUAGAAAUGAGAUGCCUCAACAACCUUUACUUUUUUGUUAGAUAUUUGAUGUGUGUGGUUUUGAUUUCAUGGGACCUUUUCCUAUCUCAUUUAGUUUUGCUUACAUUUUACUAGCUAUUGAUUAUGUUUCUAAGUGGAUGGAAGCUAAAGCUACUAGAACUGAUAGCUUUGCUGUUGUUGUAGAUUUUAUUAGGUCAUAUAUCUUUUGUAAGUUUGGUAUUCCAAAGGCUGUUAUCAAUGACCAAAGGACCUAUUUUCGUAAUCGAAGCAUGUAAAGUUUGUUGGGUAAGUAUGGAUUUGUGCAUAAGAUGGCUACCCUUUAUCAUCCCCAAACUAAUAGGCAAGGUAAAGUUUUUAACUAAGAGAUAAAGUAGAUUCUUGACAAGACAAUGAAACCCAAUAGGAAGGAUUGAAGUAAGAGACUUGAGGAUGCAUUGUGAGCAUAUAGAACUGCUUACAAGACACCAACAAGCAUGUCUCCUUAUCGGAUUGCUUUCGGAAAAGCUUGUCACUUACCUAUGGAGAUUGAGUAGAAAGCUUAUUAGGCAGUGAAGCAAUGCAACAUGUAGUUGGCCAAAGUAGGAGAUCAAAGAAAAAAUCAAUUGCAAGAGCUUGAAAAAUAUCACUUGGAAGCAUAUGAAAAUUCAAGGAUCUAUAAAGAAAAGACCAAGCUGAUGCAUGAUAAGCUGAUAGUUAAGAAAGAGUUUAAUGUUGGACAAAAACUGCUGCUUUAUAAUGCUAGAUUAAAACUUAUGUCGGGAAAACUUCAUUCUAGAUGGGAAGGUCCUUUUGUAGUUGCUAAAGUGUUUUCUUAUGGUGGAGUAGAGAUUAUGGCAGAGUCUAUUGAAACAAAGUUUAAAGAUAAUGGGCCCUAGAUAAAGCAUUUCUAUUAUAGAUUCAAGACACACAUUGUGGAGGAGUUUGCCCUCUAAGAUGACACUUAAUCGAUCAGGUUGUAUCCCUUCUCUUCACUUUCAAUUUACAUAAUUUCCCAUAAAUCUUUUGGACAAUGUUCUACAUUGAGGACAUUAUAGAUUUUAAGUGUAGGGGAGGUUUUUACUAUUUUAACUUGUUUACUUAAUUUUUUCCUAUUUUCAUUUUAUUAUUUUUUUCUUUGUUUUCUUGAAAAAUAAAAAAAGUGUGAAAUUACAAGUUUAAGGCAAUUUUAGUUUGGAUGCAUUCGAGCAUGAUAAGUAAUUGAUCUUGUAUUUGGAAUUCAAGUUAAGUGGCAAUGAAUUUGGUUUGAAUGGAUUAAUGUGAUAGUCUUUGGCUUGUGAGGAUUUGGGCCUAAUAUUAUUUUCUUCUUGUGUGUACUUUCCUAUCACUACUCUCACUCUAGAACUUGUCUUAAUUCUUAGUUGAGACUAUAAUUGCAUAUGCUUUGCAUAAAGAUGAUUUAGGCAUUAUUUUCUUGAACCUACUUAGCCAAAUAGUUAUCCUAUGCAAUUCAAUGUAUCCCUUGUUAGCCACUUUAAGCCUAUACCUUUUCUUUGAAAUUUCAACCAAUUGAAAAUAUAACCAAUAAAAUACCUUAUUUUCCCUUCAUUUUUCUCACCCUACUUUAGGUGAUGAAAAGCAUAUCAUUAUAUUUGUUUGAAUGAAAGAAUACAUUUGAAGAGAGAUUUGUGUUCUUUUGGAAAAAAAAUGGGGCAAAAUAAAAAUAGAGAGAGCAAAAAAGGAAAAAAAAAGCAAAAAAAUAAAAAAUAAAAAAGAAAGAAAAUGAAAAGACAAGAAAAUGAAAAGGUGCAGAAAGAAAAAAAAAGAAAAGAAAAAUAGCAACAACAAAAAAGAGCUAAAUAAAACCCAAAUCAAUUUAUUUUAUUUCUUUCAUUCUAUAUAUUUUAUUUAAAAGAUGUUUUUCAUUCUCCUAAAGAUUUUACCAUCUAAUAUUGUUAAUAAGCUAUUAAAUAUUUGGCCCCCUUUAAUGGAGAAAUGGAUAAGUUAUGCUAAAGGAAUGGACCAAUUGGGAAUUUUUCAAUAAGAGCAACUUAUGAGUUUGUGAACUGCAAUACUAGAGGAAACUCGGGGUGUGGCUGCUCUUCUCUUUGGAAACUCCUCGUUCUAGAGAAAUUGAAAAUGUUCUUGUGGCAAGUUAAUCAUGAGAGACUUUUGACUUGUAUCCUAAAAGCUAAAAGAGGGCCGAGUGUGAGUGAUAUAUGCCCUUUUGGGUGUUCACAUGAGGAAUCUGUCUUACAUAUUUUAAGGGAUUGCGAUCUAGCUCAAGAAUUUUGGUCAUCUAUCAUAAUCAACCCAUAUUACUUGCAAAAAUUCUACUAUUUGUCUUGCAGGAUUGUCUUGAAUGGAAUAUCAAGGAAGACAUUGGCUAAGAGGGGAUCUCUAAAUGGCCUUGGAAGAAAACAUUCAAUCUAGCUUGCUGCAUCUAUAGAAGAAUCGAUGCCAAAGAGCAUUUGAGCAAUCCAGAUCAAACACUCAACAAAUUUAUCAUUCUACUUUGCAUCAACUCAUGGAGAAAAGCGUUCUUAAGGGAGCUUGUAAGAUCAUUCUCAAUGCCAAAUGCAGACUCACUUGACUCCCCCAGAAAAAGAUGAACUCCAGUUUGAAGUGGAUGGAUUUAUUAAUCUAGAAGGACAUGUGGCUGGUGGAGGAGUGUUAAGGAAUUGGCAUAAAGAUUGGGCACUUGGCUUGAAACAAAAUCUUGGUGAAUUAAACCCAACUGCUGUUGAAUUGGCUGUGGUGCAAAAUGCAUUGAAAAUUAUCCAAGAGAGGAAUUUGCAAAAAAGUGACUAUUUUUAUUGAUUCAUUGAAUGCACUCAAUCUGAUGAUUCGUGAAGGAUACUUUUAUCAUCAGUUGGAGGCUGUUAUACAGCAGAUCAGACAAAUUUGGAUUGAUUUACCCUAUAUACAUUGCUCAUAUGUAUUGUGAGGGUAUUAAGUGUGUGAACCAACAUGCUAGGUAUGUGAGCGGAGGUUUUGAUAUUCAGAUCAUCCCCACUGUGUCGGUGGAUUAUUUAAGGGAGAAUGACAAGUAAGGACCUAGUAAGAAUAUUAUUGUUAAAUUAAGAAUUUUAGUACUGAAACAUGGCAUUCCCAAAACUUGAGUACUUCUUGUAACAUGUUUUAGUAUUAAAGUUUCUAAGUUGACAAUAAUGUUUUUAUAUAGUCCUUACUUAUUAUUUUUCCUUGUUUUUUCCAUAUGAACACCCGACCACUUUUGUGAUGAA